CAGUCGCCGCGGUAAUACGGAGGGUGCAAGCGUUAAUCGGAAUUACUGGGCGUAAAGCGCACGCAGGCGGUUUGUUAAGUCAGAUGUGAAAUCCCCGAGCUUAACUUGGGAACUGCAUUUGAAACUGGCAAGCUAGAGUCUUGUAGAGGGGGGUAGAAUUCCAGGUGUGGCGGUGAAAUGCGUAGAGAUCUGGAGGAAUACCGGUGGCGAAGGCGGCCCCCUGGACAAAGACUGACGCUCAGGUGCGAAAGCGUGGGGAGCAAACAGGAUUAGAUACCCCUGUAGUCCCUGUCUCUUAUAC
rnacentral:rRNA from 1 species